GGAUGUGCCGGCCUCGUGGCUUGUCCGAUUUGCACGGUGACUUGAUUACACGCUCUCAUUCACGGUCACUUCCGAAGCGCUUUAGUGCCUUCCGUCCCCAAACCGCCAACAGGCAAAGCGGCUUCCCUCCGCGGUUUGUCAAUAAUCCGCGCUGUCCGGAAGGGCCUUCGCCUUACCCGGGUUCCAC
ensembl:misc_RNA predicted gene, 27492